rnacentral:tRNA from 1 species
AUUUACAUAGCUUAUAUUUAGAGCACGGUGCUGAAGAUGCCGGGGGAGAUUGAAUUCUUGUAAGUA